rnacentral:pre_miRNA from 1 species
CAUGUAAUCCCUUCGUCCGGAAAUAUUUGUCAUCAAAAUGAAUAAAAGGGGAUGUAUCUAGAUGUAUUUUGUUCAUUUUGAUGACAAGUAUUUUCAGACGGAGGAACUAUUAA